UACAGAGGGGGCAAGCGUUGUUCGGAAUUACUGGGCGUAAAGGGCUCGUAGGCGGUCAACUAAGUCAGACGUGAAAUCCCUCGGCUUAACCGGGGAACUGCGUCUGAUACUGGAUGGCUUGAGGUUGGGAGAGGGAUGCGGAAUUCCAGGUGUAGCGGUGAAAUGCGUAGAUAUCUGGAGGAACACCGGUGGCGAAGGCGGCAUCCUGGACCAAUUCUGACGCUGAGGAGCGAAAGCCAGGGGAGCAAACGGG
rnacentral:rRNA from 1 species